ensembl:lncRNA
CUUUAUUUGGCAGCUCUGACAUGUAAACAUUUUGACAGGAUUUAAACUCUUCUCCACACUUUGGUCCUCGUUUGGCUCAGAUGAAGAAAAAAAUCCUGGUUUUAUUUUCAGUCCAAAAAAUCCCCAAACACUCCUUCACCUGCCGAAAACCCCCAAACUGUCCCUGAACAGACACUUUCACUUUAACAGCUUUAACAGGUUUUUCUUUCCUAAUUAUCACAAGACGACUAUUUGUAGUGAUUCCUAUCAUAAUCAGACAUUUAUCUCAUUUAUAUAAAAAUAAUUAUUAGUCUUUGGCACUAAAUUAGGUCCACUCAUUGGAGUUUUUCUUUAAAAAAUCUGAAUUCAAGGUUGGUUUUUGUUGCUUCCGGAACUCCAUCAGUGAAACGGUAAUGCUGCUAGGAGAACUAUGAGUUCAGAUUAUUAGAAAAUAAAGACAAUUCCAAAACAAAAUCAUCAUCAUGACGUCAAAAAAACACACAAAGCUAAUGAACAAAAAAAGAAAAGCAGAAUUAAAAUGUUCUAAAUCCACCAGUAGCAGAUGGAGUUCAGUCUGGAGCUCAUUUUGGUCCCUGAACGCACCACAGGAGGUCGGGUGGAGUUUCCCUUUCAGAGAAUCUUUGGUCGUUAUUGCACAAAAGUGUUGUUGCAUAGUUGUUGUUGUUGAGGUAAACAAACAAACCAAAAACAUUCAAACGCGUCAACAAAACAGCUUCAAGGUCAAACGGAACAUGAACGCAGCAAAUACAGGGCUCCAAACUCACUUUAACAUUGGUGCACCGGAGCGCCUUCAGCCAGGUCGCAAAACUGUUUACUGAUGUUCCCUAAACGCCUCGCAGUCAUCAGUAGAUGCUGCAGUUUCCAGAUGUUCCCUAAAUACCUCACAAUCAUCAACAGACACUGUAGUUUCCAAAAGUUCUCUAAACAUCCCAGUCAUCAGUAGAUGCUGCAGUUUCCAGAUGUUCCCUAAACGCCUCACAGUCAUCAGUAGACACUACAGUUUCCAGAUGUUCCUUAAACACCUCACAGUCAUCAGUUGACACUAGUUUCCAGAUGUUCCCUAAACGCCUCGCAGUCAUCAGUAGAUGCUGCAGUUUCCAGAUGUUCCCUAAAUACUUCACAAUCAUCAACAGAUGCUGUAGUUUCCAAAAGUUCUCUACACAUCCCACAGUCAUCAGUAGACUCUGCAGUUUCCAGAUGUUCCCUAAAUGCCUCACAGUCAUUAGUAGACACUACAGUUUCCAGAUCUACUGAUGACUGUGAGGGAUUUAGGGAACAUCUGGAAACUGAGUGAUUAGUUUCCAGAUGCUCCCUAAACACUGAAAAAUUCAUCAAUGAAUGCUGCAGUUUUCAGAUGUUCCCUAAAUGCCUCACAAUCAUCAACAGAAACUGAAGUUUUAAGAUGUGCCCUAAACACUUCGGAGUCAUCAAUAAAUGCCGCUGUUUCCAGAUGUUCCCUAAAGGCCUCAUAGUGAUCAGUGGAAGCCGCAACUUCCAGAUGGUCCCUAAAUGCCCCGCAGUCAUUAGUCGAUGCCUCAGUUUCCAAUUCUACUGAUGACUGUGAGGCGUUUAUGGAACAUAUGGGAAUUGAAACAUUAUUAGGUAUCUCAGUUUCCAGAUGUUCCCUAAAUGCCCCGCAGUCAUCAGAAGACACUACAGUUUCCAGAUAUUCCCUACACGCCUCACAGUCAUCAGUAGAUACCUCAGUUUCCAGAUCUAUUGAUGACUGU